AGAGUUUGAUCCUGGCUCAGAAUCAACGCUGGCGGCGUGCCUAACACAUGCAAGUCGAACGAGAAAGUGGAGCAAUCCAUGAGUAAAGUGGCGACCGGGUGAGUAACACGUGACUAACCUACCCUAGAGUGGGGGAUAACCUCGGGAAACCGGGGCUAAUACCGCAUAACAUCGCGAGGGGAAGAUCCUUGCGAUCAAAGGAGCAAUUCGCUCAAGGAGGGGGUCGCGGCUGAUUAGCUAGUUGGUGGGGUAACGGCCCACCAAGGCGAAGAUCAGUAGCCGGCCUGAGAGGGCGCACGGCCACACUGGAACUGAAACACGGUCCAGACUCCUACGGGAGGCAGCAGUGGGGAAUUUUGCGCAAUGGGGGAAACCCUGACGCAGCAACGCCGCGUGGAGGAUGAAGUCCCUUGGGAUGUAAACUCCUUUCGAUCGGGACGAUUAUGACGGUACCGGAAGAAGAAGCACCGGCUAACUCUGUGCCAGCAGCCGCGGUAAUACAGAGGGUGCAAGCGUUGUUCGGAAUUAUUGGGCGUAAAGGGCGCGUAGGC
rnacentral:rRNA from 1 species